GAUGAACGCUGGCGGCGUGCCUAAUACAUGCAAGUCGAACGCUGAAGGAGGAGCUUGCUCUUCUGGAUGAGUUGCGAACGGGUGAGUAACGCGUAGGUAACCUGCCUGGUAGCGGGGGAUAACUAUUGGAAACGAUAGCUAAUACCGCAUGACAACAGUUAUUGCAUGAUAACUGUUUAAAAGGGGCAACUGCUCCACUACCAGAUGGACCUGCGUUGUAUUAGCUAGUUGGUGAGGUAACGGCUCACCAAGGCGACGAUACAUAGCCGACCUGAGAGGGGGAUCGGCCACACUGGGACUGAGACACGGCCCAGGCUUCUACGGGAGGCAGCAGGAGGGAAUCUUCGGAAAUGGACGGAAGUCUGACCGAGCAACGCCGCGGGAGGGAAGAAGGGUGUCGGAUCGUAAAGCUCGGUUGUAAGAGAAGAACGAGUGUGAGAGUGGAAAGUUCACACUGUGACGGUAUCUUACCAGAAAGGGACGGCUAACUACGUG
rnacentral:rRNA from 1 species